rnacentral:rRNA from 1 species
AUGUGUUACUGGUCAAAGUAUGAACAAGAUUGUGGUGAUGUAAAUGCAAGCACUUCUGUUGUAAUGGUUUGUUUUUCCCUGUUUCCAGUUGCCAAGCUUUAUUCACUGGUCUGCAUAUUCAUUUUGUUGUUUCUUAUCCCUUCCAGCAAAGGUUGCAGAUUUAGUGAAAACAUGGCAGAAAAAAACCCUCUAAAUUACUUCCAUGUACUAAAAAUAUUAACCCUCAGAUGUGUCAAGUCAAACUUUACAAAAUCUGACCAAAUUUAUAUUAAAAAUAUUAACUUCUACAAUAUCAAAUAUAUAUGCUAUGAAUCUAACAAUACUCAUUUGGCAUUGUCAAUGUUGAUAUUUUUUUCUAUAAGUUUGGUUGAAGUAGAGAUAUUUUGA